AUUGAACGCUGGCGGCAGGCCUAACACAUGCAAGUCGAACGAGUGGCGGACGGGUGAGUAAUGUCUGGGAAACUGCACGAUGGAGGGGGAUAACUACUGGAAACGGUAGCUAAUACCGCAUACCAUCGGAUGUGCCCAGAUGGGAUUAGCCAGUAGGUGGGGUAACGGCUCACCUAGGCGACGAUCCCUAGCUGGUCUGAGAGGAUGAACAGCCACACUGGAACUGAGACAAGGUCCAGACGCCUACGGGAGGCAGCAGUGGGGAAUAUUGCACAAUGGGCGCAAUCCUGAUGCAGCCAUGCCGCGUGGGUGAAGAAGGUCUUCGGAUUGUAAAGCACUUGAAGUUGGGAGGCGUUACCAACAGAAUAAGCACCGGCUAACUUCGUGCCAGCAGCCGCGGUAAUAC
rnacentral:rRNA from 1 species